ensembl:lncRNA
GUCUCCGACAGGAAGUUUUGGAAGAGAGAUUUCCGAACAUGAUUUGAAGACGUGGAGCUAUUGAAUACACAUCGCCCUGUGAUCAAUUUGAUAGAUUAUUAACGUUUACUAAUACCUACAGUUGGAUUACAAAAGUAUUUCGAAGUGUUUUGUGAAAGUUUAUCGUCGACUUUUUUGAUUUAAAAAAAUGACGUAGCGUUUUCAAACAGUGUUUUUUUAUGGAUCACACAGUUUUCAUAGAUCGAUAUUUAGGGUAUAUAUGGACCGAUUUAAUCGAGAAAAAAAAGACCCAAUAGUGAUGUUUAUGGGACAUAUAGGAGUGCCAACAAAGAAGCUAGUCAAAGGUCACUGAGACACUGUUCCAGCAGGUCUUCUGGCACUAUGGUCUUCCAGAGGACAUCAUCUCCGACCGUGGUCCCCAAUUCACGUCGCAGGAAUGGAGAGCCUUCAUGGAGAAGCUGGGAGUCACGGUCAGUCUCACAUCCAGGCUGGGGGUUCCUGGUCCCCUGGCUGAUGCCGUCCCCAACUACACCCCUCCGCCUCCCCUGGACAUCGAGGGAAACCCCACAUAUGCCGUCAGAUCCCUCCUGGACUCCCAACAUCGUGGGGGUCAGCUCCAGUACCUGGUGGACUGGGAGGGGUAUGGUCCAGAGGAGCGGUGUUGAGUUCCAGUGGAUGACAUUCUAGAUCCUAACAUCAUCCGUGAUUUCCACCGCUGAUGUCCGGACCAGCCCACUCCUCGCCCUCGGUGCCGUCAUCCUGGCCGGCGUCAUCCUGCGGCUGGAGCUGCACAUUGGGGGGGUGGGUACUGUCACAUCUACUCCCGCUUACCCUUUUCUGCACUCAACGUCACCGGUCUACUAACCACCGGUCCUGGCAACCUAUCAUUACGCACACCUGGCAACCUUCAUUACGCACACAUGCAUCUCAUCAUUAGGCACAACUGGAGUUCAUCACUUCCCUGAUUACUCCCCCUUAAUCUAGCACUUCGUUGUUAUCACCCAUCAUACAGCAUUGUUUCUGUGUUCAUGUUCAGAUGCUACUCUUGUUUGUUUAUUUACUCUGUUCGUUCUUAUUAAACUCACCGACUGCACCUGCUUCCUGA